rnacentral:rRNA from 1 species
CAGUCGCCGCGGGAAAACGAAGGGGGCUAGCGUUGCUCGGAAUUACUGGGCGUAAAGGGCGCGUAGGCGGACAGUUAAGUCGGGGGUGAAAGCCCGGGGCUCAACCUCGGAAUUGCCUUCGAUACUGGCUGUCUUGAGUAUGAGAGAGGUGUGUGGAACUCCGAGUGUAGAGGUGAAAUUCGUAGAUAUUCGGAAGAACACCAGUGGCGAAGGCGACACACUGGCUCAUUACUGACGCUGAGGCGCGAAAGCGUGGGGAGCAAACAGGAUUAGAUACCCCCGUAGUCCCUGUCUCUUAUAC